UUCUCUUGAGACACUGUCUCUCACAGGACUGGAAGCCUACUAUUUCAGUAAGGCUGACUCUCCAGUGAACUCUCAAGAUCCUUCUAUCACCAUCUGCUGAUGCUGUAGUUACAGGCAUGUGCAGUCAUACCCAGAGGAGUUCAUUUCCCACUGUCUUCAUUAAUAAACACUAAUGACUGAAGAACUUCCCAGUAAUACCAUGUUGGGGCUAAGAGGAGAGACUGAUGAAGUCUUUGCAUCAUUAUCAAGCAUCUGGGGACCAGAGUGGUGGGAUGUGGGCUCCCAGAGGAUCAGAUGGAGAAGAAACAAUCAGAUGUCUAUUUCACCCCUCCAAGAUUUGGGGAGCAUCAUGGAAGGUAGUCAGAGAAGAAUGGAAAAAUCUGGAGGAAAGGAUGGAGUGUUGUGAACUAUUUUGUCAGCAUGGAAACAUUCCCUAUUGAAAGGAGGUGAGAUGCUUAAGUCUUAGAAAGUAAGGAAACUUAGAAGACUCAGAAAGCUCCUAAAUUUAUAAAAUUGGUAAGACUCCUGUCCAACGACACAUAAGCAAUAAUAACUGCUGAGGAAAAGAAAAUUCCCAGCCAGCUGAAUUGUCUACAAAUUAUUCGGGGAAUUCCAAGCUUAAAACUUUCAGUUACCCAUGCUUCUGUAACUCUAAUAAACACACCGUUUCCCUACUUAA